CGCGGCUUCCCGAUCGGUUCCCGAGGGUCCCGGACACAGGGAGCAGGGAGAGGCGCGCCCGCCUCCGGAAGAGGUCGGCAGCUGCUUGGGGUGGGGAGACGAAUCAUCUGCGCCCCGACGCACCCACGCCCGAAUCCCCUCCCCACGCCCACACCUCCCCAGGUCCGAGCCCACUCCAGGCCGAAGGCGAGGGCACGGACCCACAUUUCCCUCCCGCAGUACCACCGCCCGCCCAAGCCCGACUUCAGCCUGGACCCCGAUAACCCAGUUACCCGUGUAUUUGGAUGUUUGUGCCCCAGAAAGCGAAGACUUGGACACGACUGAGCGACUUCACUUUCAUGCAUUGGAGAAAGAAAUGGCAACCCACUCCAGUGUUCUUGCCUGGAGAAUCCGAGGGAUGGCAGAGCCUGGUGGGCUGCCGUCUAUGGGGUCGCACAGAGUCGGACACUACUGAAGCGACUUAGCAGCAGCAGCAGCAGCAGCAGCCCCAGAAAGCAGGGCUGUGAGUUCUUGACAUAAUAAUGACCAACACCGACACCACCAGACCACUGUGCAGUGAGCUCGUGUACACA